GGGCCCGCACAAGCGGUGGAGCAUGUGGUUUAAUUCGAUGAUACGCGAGGAACCUUACCAGGGCUUAAAUGCAGAACGACAGAGGUGGAAACACCUCCUUCUUCGGACGGUCUGCAAGGUGCUGCAUGGUUGUCGUCAGCUCGUGCUGUGAAGUGUCGGGUUAAGUCCCAUAACGAGCGCAACCCCUAUUUCUAGUUGCCAGCGGUUCGGCCGGGGACUCUAGAGAAACUGCCAGCGUAAGCUGUGAGGAAGGUGGGGAUGACGUCAAAUCAUCACGGCCCUUACGUCCUGGGCUACACACGUGCUACAAUGGUACGGACAAACGGACGCAAUACCGCGAGGUGGAGCAAAUCCUAGAAACCGUGCCUCAGUUCGGAUUGCAGGCUGCAACUCGCCUGCAUGAAGCCGGAAUCGCUAGUAA
rnacentral:rRNA from 1 species